rnacentral:rRNA from 1 species
UGGGGAAUAUUGCACAAUGGGCGCAAGCCUGAUGCAGCCAUGCCGCGUGUGUGAAGAAGGCCUUCGGGUUGUAAAGCACUUUCAGCGAGGAGGAAGGUGGUGGACUUAAUACGUUCAUCAAUUGACGUUACUCGCAGAAGAAGCACCGGCUAACUCCGUGCCAGCAGCCGCGGUAAUACGGAGGGUGUAAGCGUUAAUCGGAAUUACUGGGCGUAAAGCGCACGCAGGCGGUUUGUUAAGUCAGAUGUGAAAUCCCCGGGCUCAACCUGGGAACUGCAUUUGAAACUGGCAAGCUAGAGUCUCGUAGAGGGGGGUAGAAUUCCAGGUGUAGCGGUGAAAUGCGUAGAGAUCUGGAGGAAUACCGGUGGCGAAGGCGGCCCCCUGGACGAAGACUGACGCUCAGGUGCGAAAGCGUGGGGAGCAAACAGGAUUAGAUACCCUGGUAGUCCACGCUGUAAACGAUGUCGAUUUUGGAGGUUGUGCCCUUGAGGCGUGGCUUCCGGAGCUAACGCGUUAAAUCGACCGCCUGGGGAGUACGGCCGCAAGGUUAAAACUU